rnacentral:rRNA from 1 species
AGCAGCCGCGGUAAUUCCAGCUCCAAUAGCGUAUAUUAAAGUUGUUGCAGUUAAAAAGCUCGUAGUUGAAUUUCGGUAUCAAUUUGCUGGUCGUCCUCUGGUACGUACUGGUAUUAUUGGUUUCUCCCUUCUGACGAACCAUGAUGUCAUUAAUUUGAUGUCGUGGAGAAUCAGGACUGUUACUUUGAAAAAUUGAGUGUUUAAAGCAGGCAUUAGCUUGAAUACAUUAGCAUGGAAUAAUGAAAUAGGACGUUUGAUCCUAUUUUGUUGGUUUCUAGGAUUGACGUAAUGAUUAAUAGGGAUAGUUGGGGGCAUUAGUAUUCAAUUGUCAGAGGUGAAAUUCUUGGAUUUAUUGAAGACUAACUACUGCGAAAGCAUUUGCCAAGGAUGUUUUCAUUAAUCAAGAACGAAAGUUAGGGGAUCGAAGACGAUCAGAUACCGUCGUAGUCUUAACCAUAACUAUGCCGACUAGGGAUCGGAUGAUGUUAAUUUUUAUGA